rnacentral:rRNA from 1 species
GUGGCAAGCGUUGUUCGGAUUUACUGGGCGUACAGGGAGCGUAGGCGGUUCGGUAAGCCCUCUGUGAAAUCUCCAGGCUUAACCUGGAACAGUCGGAGGGGACUGCUGGGCUAGAGGACGGGAGAGGAGCGCGGAAUUCCCGGUGUAGCGGUGAAAUGCGUAGAGAUCGGGAGGAAGGCCGGUGGCGAAGGCGGCGCUCUGGAACGUUUCUGACGCUGAGGCUCGAAAGCGUGGGGAGCAAACAGGAUUAGAUACCCUGGUAGUCCACGCCUUAAACUAUGAAUACUAAGUGUCGGCGGUUUACCGCCGGUGCCGCAGCUAACGCAUUAAGUAUUCCGCCUGGGAAGUACGGCCGCAAGGUUG